rnacentral:rRNA from 1 species
GCUGGCGGUGCGCCUUAUGCAUGCAAGUCGAGCGAAGCUUUUCAGUAGUUUACUACAGAAAAUGACUGAGCGGCGAACGGGUGAGUAACGCGUGAGCAAUCUACCUUAGUUACAGGGAUAGCCCGAGGAAACUCGGAUUAAUACCUGAUAUUCUUUUUAUCUCGCAUGAGAUUUUAAGGAAAGGUCAGCCGAACUAAGAUGAGCUCGCGUUCUAUCAGCUAGUUGGUGAGGUAAUAGCUCACCAAGGCUACGACGGAUAGCUGGUCUGAGAGGACGAUCAGCCACACUGGGACUGAGACACGGCCCAGACUCCUACGGGAGGCUGCAGCAGGGAAUAUUGCGCAAUGAGCGAAAGCUUGACGCAGCGACACCGCGUGUGGGAUGACGGAUCUAGGUUUGUAAACCACUUUCAGGAGGGAAGAAAAUGACGGUACCUCCACAAGAAGCCCCGGCCAACUACGUGCCAGCAGCCGCGGUAAUACGUAGGGGGCGAGCGUUGUCCGGAUUUAUUGGGCGUAAAGAGCUCGUAGGCGGUUCAACAAGUCGGUCGUGAAAGUUCA